UCAGGAGUUCAAGAUUAUCCUUAAAUGAAAAAGAAUUCAUCUCCGAUGCGCAGAUUCAGUAGAGGAUGGAUGGUCAUUCGAAGACCAGCCUGCCUAGCCGUUUUUCUCCCUCAGACAGACCAUUUCCUUUGUAUACACAGCCAGGACCCUGAGUGGCCUGUAACGAUCGAUCAAUGGACAGAUGACCUUCAGGAACCAGCUACGGUUUGGUUUUUUUUUUUUUUUUUUUUUGUCCUGGUCAGGAGAGUUCUAUCCUUUAAUCACCGGAAGUUUCCGCCCAUGAUCAGAGUCAGCCAACAUUGCGGUCUGGGAACAGGGCGGUUACAUCUGUGGCGCUUGGAGCUGUGCCUGGCCCCGCAUCAAGCAGUCCUACUUAGCGGUUCUGCAUGGCUUGCAAACAAAGUGGGUUUGGUAACAAAGAAGCCCACGGCACCACACGGAAAAGCAGAGAGCCUUUAAAUUUCCCAGAACGGGAGCCUCUCACCAGACUGAAGUAGCCACCAGGUGAGGCACCUGGAGUUCUCCAAGGUGGGUUUACCUCUGGGCAAGGACUAUUUCGUAUUCAAACUCGCACAAAGCUAAGCGCCUUUGCUUCUGAGAGCCGGCAUAAACCGCCGUGCCUCUGCAAGAGCAUCCAAAUACUGUGCUUCCUUCCGUCUGAGGGCCUAGCUGGGGAGGCUCUCCACCCUACAGAGUCAUGCAUGACAUCAUUUUUCCCAAGCAAAGGUGACAGAACUGGUCUAAGGGAACCACCCUAUCUAGGGAACAAUCAUUUCUACGAGGAUGUGACUUGCUCUGGGGUACACUUUUGAGAUACCAUGUCACUGGGCAGAUCUCCCUACCCUCUGAGUCUGGGCAGUCCCGUUUCCAUCCUCGUUCUAAUUUAACAAUACAGACUACACAGGGUCCAGGCUGGAUGUAGAAGUCUGUAGCUAAAACGGAGGAGGGCUCUUGAGGGGUCGGGGUGGGGUGGGGGAGCCCUUUCGACUUCACUUUCUGUUCUCUCUCUCUCUCUCUCUCUCUCUCUCUCUCUCUCUCUCUUUUAAUUUUAUCGGCUUUCAGCAUUUUCAAUUAAUCUUGGAAUGGUCGCUGGAGGCAAGAAGCCAGCGGCGCCUAAAGGAAUGAGAAAGUGCAAACUGAUCCAGAGGAAACAAAGGGCAGCGAGGGACCCCACAGCUGAGGCAGACGACACUGUGAGCGGCUCUGUCGGGAGGCUGGCGAGGCGUGCGCGCGCGGGUCUCUGCCUUAGCACCAUCUGCCGAUUCCUCAAGAGGACACAGAACAGACCAGCGAGCCAUGAAGAUUCGAUUAUGUAACGCGGGAGGAUUGCUUGUUUUCAAAAGGGAGACAAAUGGGAACGAAUUGAUUUGUUUGUCAAAGUCAUGGCCCCAAAGGAGACCAGUCCCCUCCUCUUCCUGGAGGAUUCAUCAAGGAAGGGGAGUGAUUUCACAGGCUCAGAAAAAAGGAGCCCAGGACUCACAGAGUCAGCUCAGAUGGUAACAGCAGCUCCUGGGCCGCAACGCGGUGAGCCACGUGGUAGAAGAAAAGAACCAACUUCAGCUAACAGUCCUCUGACCUCCAUAAGGGCACAUACCCACCCGCCGCGAAAUAAAUCCAUGCAAAACCAUAAUUCACUCCAUUCAUAAAAACGAGUCUAUUUCCAAAAUUGUGCUGGCAAACCUUUCUGGCUUCUCUGCUUGAGAAAUGACCAUUCCGCCGGUACCCAAAGGGCACAGCCAUAGAAUGGAACAUAAUUGGCACCCCCAACCCCAGCUUCAGAACCUGCCUGCUCUGUCUGACCUCUCUCGCUUGCUUUUAGGGAAGUAACAUCUGAUCUCAGAACCAGUGGGGGUCAUCUUACUAUUUCUAUUCUGAACUCUAGAAAGUGCUUUAGAGGCUAGGGGAUCUCUCUCUCUCUCUCUCUCUCUCUCUCUGUGUGUGUGUGUGUGUGUGUGUGUGUGUGUGUGUGUGUUAGUGUGUGUUAGUUGGUCCUUCCCUUCUACCAUGUGUCAGGGCACCAGCAACCAAACUCUGGUCAGCAAUAGCUAUCACCUAUGGCGACAUCUUGGUACCCUCUCACUUUCCUAUUCUUCUUCAUACUAUUCUGUCCUCGGUUUUGCUCCCUUGCCCUCCCUCGCCCUCCGGCUCUUGGGAGCAGCAGAAGACAGAGCAGAGGAUAAAGGUAGUGGUUCAGUAUCCCCAGCUCCUUCCCUGCCUCGGGUUGGCAGAGUCUUUGGAUAGAAGGUUGCCCCCUCUUCAAAGGAGCCUGGCCACUCGGGAGGCAGAGGCAGGCAGAUUUCUGAGUUCGAGGCUAGCCUGGUGUACAGAGUGAGUACCAGGACAGCCAGGGCUACACAGAGAAACCCUGUCUCGA
rnacentral:lncRNA from 1 species